AACCGCGAGGACUCGGCCGCCUCUACAACCCGCUCUCGGCCCUCCGCCCUUAGCGGGCCCGGGCUCUCCCUCCUCGCAGUCCUCGGGAGCCUGGCGCCCGGCUCGGGCCGCACGGCCAGGGACUGAGGUGCGCGGCCCAGAAAUCUCCAAAUUGGACAUUCAGAGCAGCAUUCUUAUUCUUUCUACAUCUUGAAUUAGAAACUACCAAGGCUCUGUAAGACCUGAUCCAAUAAAAGCAAUUUCCUGCUGCAGAGAGCAUUUUAAGAAAGGACAGCGUUCCUGUGACCUCAGCCUACCAUCCAUAAAACACUCAUUCCCCUUUCAGGUAUCCAUCUUCUCUACGGUGAACCCUCCACAGAUGUCCCCAUUGUGAAGUGUGCUGCAUUCUGCUCUUUGCAGGGUGGUUUAUUCCCCGCUGCAGUUCGUGAGCACUGGCCGUUUGCACACGGAGCCCUAGCCUUUAGGGGCCAGUGCCCAAUUUAAAAAUCAAUGGAAUUAAUAUAAACAUGAGUAAGGUAUCAAUGGGAAAGUAUGAUUUACCUUACAAAAUCAAUUCGUAACUUUCCAAAAUGUUUUCUGUUUGGCGAGGCCAGGAGGUUUCCCCUGAAGUAAAAAAUUUCUUAAGACCUCAACUCAGUAUGAGAUACCUGGUUUCCACUUGACUGGCUUUAAGGAGGGGCCCAGUGAAUGUUGCUAAAAUGAAACUAAUGCUGUGUUCAUCACCUGUGUACAGUGCUCAUGUUCAUAACCAAAUCUCGAGCUCUUCUGAGAUGGUCUCCAAGAGUGUUAAACCAAAGUCAGUUGCCUCAUUUGGAGCCUUUGAGAGCAUCUCUCUCUUAUUUUCAGCAGUCUUUGGUCUCUAAGCGUGUGAUGAAGAUGCUAGGUAUAAUAAAGAAAAAUUAUAUGAAUAUACGACUUUACUGUUAAGAAACAGGAAAUUAAGAGAUCAUUUAAACACAUUUUGUGCCAAACCUGCAACAUUUUUGGAUUUCUUAUUAUAUCUUGGUAAUAAUACUUCAUGUUACAUAUGUUUACAGUAUCUGAUUAAUUUUAAAUUCAGCUAUGUUUAAAACCAUUUUGUGAUUAUUGGACAUUUUCAUCCAGUCAGUAUCUUAUUUUUCAGAUGAUUGAAACCUGGCUUUGAAGUGCUAUCUGAAGCGUUCUUAUGUCUCAUACUAAGAAGUCACCUCUUGAUUGGCACUUAGCUUUACACAUAAGUAGGAGCACUGUGCAAUUCUUAAGACAUUCCACAGAGAGUGCUACUUCUGUUGUAAAUUUGUGCAGUAUUGCUGUGUUAUGUAAAAUACUUUACAAACUGCUACCUUUGCAAAGUUCCCAGUACCCUCACUUGUCAGUGAUGGAUGGUGAUGUUUAAGAGUCCAUUUCAGUCGAGGUGUAUUUCUCAGUAAAGACAAAGGGACGUUAAUGGACUAAUAGCUCCAUACUGUCGUGCCUGACUUAUGUGAUACUGCACACGUUGAAGAUGGUAGAGCUGGUACUUUGCUUGGCAUUCACUGUGCAUUUCAGCCCUUUAGUGCAUCAUCUCCAUUCUCACAACAGGUAGUUGAUGAGAUGUAGCAUGUGAUCAUGGUGCUAGAUUUGAGCUCACACCAUCUGGUUGCAGAUAUGUCCCUCUAAACAAUCUUGCCAAGUGUCCAGUGUGCUUUAGGUUCCAGGUGCUUCACAGACUUUGGAGGUAAAUAUUUUCCUACUAUUUAGAAGCCAUGUGUUUUCAGCGCAUUAGAUUUUCUGAAGAUUUCUCUGAACAAAAGAAUUUGCUACAGAUACCAGCCAAGGGUUCCUUCUCAGGUUGUUUAUCAUAUAGUGAUGCCAAAGAAACCAGUGCUGUGCAUCACCUUCUACCUUAUCUGGAGCCCUGGACAGGUCACCUAUCUGUCUGUGACUUAGGUCGCUGGGCAUCGCUUCCAGUUCUCUGAUUUAAGGCUUCUGUUAAAGCAGCGGCUGUAGCAAUUUGCUUUUUGAAUAGGCUUAUACAUUUUACAAGGACUUUCACUUCAGCGGCCUUGAGGGGUGGAGUAAACUGUUGUAUCAUCUUCAUAGAUGAGGCAACAGAAGCAUCAGAGAAAGAGACCUCUCAAAGCUACAUGGGUGAUACCUGAAAAGGCCAGGAUACAAGCUCGUCUGCCCCAUUUGCUAUCACAGCUCCAAAACUUGACCUCUUUCUGGGGCCGUCCCCUCAUUGGCUCAUUUGCAGAAUGAAUGAAUUGAACUCUAGCAGUGAUUUUCAAACCCUAUUCCCUGUAGUAUUAGGGGAUUCAAGGCUGAUGGGGAUUGAGAUUUGGGGCUUUCCUUUAGCCGAAACCACUCUGCAUUCAUCUGCUUGGCAUUCCAAUGUUCCACGUUAUCUUUACCUUAAAUAAAGCUUCUGUAGUUACAAAAUACUUUAAAGAUUACUGAUCCUCAAAGUUUUUAUUACAUUCUAAACUCCAACCUUUAGGGAACAGUGCCCAAUUUAAAAAUCAAUGGAAUUAAUAUAAAUAUGAGUAAACUAUCAAUGGGAUAGUAUAAUUUGACUUACAAAAUUAAUUUGUAACUUUCCAAAAUGGUAUCUGUUCAGUGAGGCCAGGAGGCUUCCCCAAAAGUAAAACUCCUUAGGAUCUCAACUCAAUACCUGAUCCCUAGUUCCCACUGGACUGGCUUAUAAGAGGGGCCCAGCAAAUGUUUCCAAAAGGAAAUUAAAAGAAAAAAAUUUAUUUUGAUACUUGUUUUAAGCAAUGCACAGGCUAUCAAAAUGUAUUUAUUUUAUACCUUUGUAGUAUCCUAGGAUUAUAAAUAUUCUACAAUUAAUUUUAAAGGACAAUCACAAUUUUAGUUUCUCCAUUGAAUCUUAUUUUACUUCAUUCAUACAUAUAUUCAGUGAGUCUUCUCUCUUCCCCAGUCUCUCCAUAAAUGUUUUCAUUAUUUUACUGACUUGAUGAAUUCCCAGUUCCAAAUGAUGUUUCAAGUCAUAUAUCUAGGUUUAGAACUCCUGCAGUAAAAUAGCAUUUCUAGACAGAAUUCUGAAUUCAAUGAAACGUGUUUCUUUCUCUCUAUAAUACAUUGUCUGUGUUAUCUUCAUUCUUGGAAGAGAUUUGGGUAGAGGGAUUAUAUAUGCUGCUUUUUAUGGGAUGCUAUGAAUAUGAAUACUUAUUUAACAAACCAAAUUAUAUUUUUCUCAUUCCCCAAACUUUGGAAAGGUUUAUGAUUUCAAUUGAUGGCACACACUAGAAUUUAUGAAGUUACAAGGAAACAGAGCAGCACUUGAGAGUUACGCCUUCAUCCUGGGUUCAGCAGCAUCCUUACAGUGAAAAGAGAGUGGAGGCGUUUAACUGUAUUCCAAGAUCAAGUGUUAUUUUGUCCAAAAACUAUGAGGGAUAGACUUCUCUGCUUUUAAUCCUUGCUCUUUGAUCACAGGGCUCAUGGGGUGAAACAUUCACACCAGCCUGCUCCCUUGUAAACUUGAUCCCUUAUAAAUCUGUGACAUUUUCCCUUCUUACAACAGUUUAUAUUCUCAUGUAUAUAAAUACUGCUUUUGACAGGAUAAGAGACUAGUGCCAUGAAUAUUCCUUUAGCAGUGGUAAAAACUCUUCAAUAAAGCUUUAAAGUUUUAAGAUGACAAUCAAAUGGUCCAACCAAGGGCAGGAGAAGCUAACAUAAAAACCGUCACAGAUGAGUGAUUUUAUUUCACAUCAACCCUGUGGUCUUAACGCUGCCUAUUGGAGGCACGUUUUUGCAUCAGCCAUGUGAAUUGGUGAACUUUAGUGUUUAUGGCUCAUAAAGAAUUCUUCACUUGAAGGUCAUCAGUGGCUAGGCUGUAAUUCCUGCAGUUCUGAGAAAAUUGGCACUAUCAGCCUUGUCAUUGGAAUUGGGGUCUUUAUGUAGAUAUUUGAUGCUUCUGUUUUACUCCCGCGUUCCCUCUGCUGUAGUGCUUAAAACAUGAUGUCCGAGAUCCACACUAAUUGGGUUUUGUGGUUUAAUUGACUUGUGGGUGCCUUAGAUGUAAUAGAAUCUGAUCUCACAGGCGUGACCUUCUACACCCGAGGGUCUUUUCCCUCCCUUGUCACUUUUUCCCCGUUAGCAGACAUCAUUUUGCUUUGGGAUUAUUUGAUUUGGUGUGAUAAAUGGAUUCAGAUUAAAAUUAGGAUCAAAAUAAUUACAGCAAUUUGAAAAGACAUUCAUUGGGGAAACACUGUAAACACUCCAACUUCAUAAUGAUAGGAUACAGAGAUUUGGAGAAAAAGCUAUUGUACAGAGGCUCUAAUGAUAGGUUUUACUUCUGAGUUAAAAUUCAUUGUAAAAGCUCACAUAGCCCUUAGUUAUUUUUGAUCAGGAGAUCAUGUUUUAGAAGAAAGCAUUUCAUGAAAGUAAAAUGGCAUCAAAACUAUUUCUUACUUUGAAAACAUACUUUUGCCAUUGGCAUCUUCUAGAAAAUGUUAUCUUUUAUACAUAUGUAGUAUGAUUUCUGUCCGUCUCAUAUAUUAGCAGGAUUCAGUAGCAGACUUCCUAUUAACUACAGUUGGCUCUUGAACAGCACAGGUUUGAACUGCUCAGGUCUGCUUAUAUUUUCUUCUGCCUCUGCCACCUCUCAGACAAGACCAACCUCUCCUCUUCCUCUUCUUCCUCUUCCUCAGCCUACUCAAAGUAAGACAGCAAGAAUGAAGACCUUUAUGAUGAUCCACUUCCGAUUAAUGAAUAGUAAAUAUAUUUUAUCUUUUUUGGGAUAUUCUUUUAUUGGAAGGCAGGAGGGGCGACAGUAUCUCACUCUGUCACCCUGGCUAAAGUGCAGUGGCAGAAUCUUGGCUCACUGCAGCCUCCGCCUCUCGGGUUCAAGCAAUUCUCCUGCAUCAGCCUCCCAAGUAGCUGGGACUACAGGUGCAUGCUACCAUGCCCGGCUAAUUUUUGUAUUUUUAGUAGAGACGGGGUUUCACUGUGUUGCCUAGCCUGGUCAUGAACUCCUGAGCUCAGGCAAUCUACCUACCUGCCUUGGCCUACCAAAGUGCUGGGAUUACAGGCGUGAGCCACCGCGCCCGGCCUGGGAUUUUCUUAAUAACAUUUUAUUUUCUCUGGCUUUCUAUAUUGUAAGAGUAGGCCAUAUCAUACCUAUAACAUACAAAAGUUGUGUUAAUUGACUGUUUAUGUUAUCAGCAAGGCUUCCAGUCAACAGGAGGCUAUUUGUAGUUAAAGUUAUAGGGCAGUUAAAAGUUAGAUUUUUUUCAACUGCAUGCGGUAGACAGUCAGGGUCUUUAACCCCUGGCAUUAUUCCAAGGUCCACUGUAGUUUACUCAAAAUAAAGGCUGAGGUAUCUGUACACCCUUCAGAGAAUUCCUUUGAGCAUCUCAGUGGUUUCAUCUCAUUAUUUAUAAAGAUUGACUUGGGAUUUUCCCCACAAGGCCUUUGAGCUCAGAUUCUAUUGGGUGUUUUUUUUGUGGAAAGCAAAAACCAUAAACUUAAGACACCCACAAGUAAAUUAUAAUUUUUAAUAUGAGCAAUACUAAUAACAUUAGAUAUUAAUACUAAUACUAAUAACCUGUGGUGCGCGGCAGGUGUAGCCAGGCCUUUGCUCUCCUAACCAAGGGUGCUUCUACUAAAGCGUGCUCUUUAGUUAACCAGUCCCUGCAGUGGGCCAAAGGUUAAUGCCUCUUCAGAAGGUGAACACCAUAAGACAAGAUGAGGGCAUUUUCAUGCUCUUCUCUCCAGGUGAGAUUAUGAGCAAAGCAAAGCAGAAUGAAAACAUUUCCCUUAAAGAAAUAGGCUCACUGAAGACUCCCUUAUUCCAGGAUGUGAGCAUGCCCAGUGUCAGAUUACUUAGCUCCCCUGCCUUUGUUUCCAGCUCCUCUGGGUAGCCUCUCCCUUACCCAAGCGCAGGCAGAUUCUCGUCAUCACCGGGCAUUUAUCACAGCUCAGGUGUCCUGCUAGUGCUCACCAAAGCCCAGCUGGAUGGCAGGCGUCCUUGCAGCACAGCCCCACGAGGGGUUUUGGCUCAGCCCUCCUCGCUCUCAGAUUCCACCUCAGAAUUUGAUAAUCACAUCGGCUGUGGCUCAUAAUGAGAUCUGUGGAUGACCUUGUCACCACCAGGCUUCCAUCAGAGCCCAUACCUGAUGGUCACUGGCAGACUAAACAAGAGGAAAAAAAAAUAAGCUUAGGUAAUUUUUACAAAUUCAUGAUAGAUGCCCCCCGUCAGCAUUCUUAUAAAAAUACAGUCCUACUGAAACUCAUUAUUAAUGGUGACCCUGAAAAUCCAAAAUGGGGAUCUUGCUUCUCUCCUCGAUGUGGGCUCUAGGUUACAAGGAACAUGUGAAAUGAUCCCUGCAUGGCAGAGCAGCCUGUUACCAUGGAGACAGCUUACUAGUUUCCCAGCCCUCUGGCUAGUUCCAGAGACAUUAACUCCAUACCAGUCUUAAAGAAAUAAAAAGAAGUCUAAGGUUCACUUCUAGCUUUUUAUAUAGUUAUAAUUACUGAAAAAAGCACUCAAAUUGCAAACUGACUCUUCUCAUUUGGAAAGGAUUACAUUUAAUAUUAUUAAUAGUGACCACUGCUAAAAGACUCACAUUCUGUUGCUAUUAAUUGAGCCUGCCUUUUUCAUAUUUUACUUUCAGGCUUGGUAUUACACUCAUCUGGAGGAAAGUAAUUUUGUUUAUUCAUACUUUGCUGUUUAUUUGUUAUUUUUGUCUUUUAAAUCUCAAAAUCCUUAUGGAGACAUGCUGUAUUUUUCAUGCCGACGGGCACUGUGCAGACGGGGUACAUCCUUGUUCACUCUUCCCUGUUGACAGUAGAUUUUGUGUGCAGUGUUUCUAUUCCUGCUGAUUUCUUAGUUGAAGAUUGGGGUAAUACCUCAAGGGAUGCACAGUUGUAAUAAACUGUGAUGUACUUAAAUAUUUAAAUGUAGUUUAAGAAAAAUGAAUAGAGAUUGAGCAUCCCAAAUCUGAAAAUCCAGAGUCCAAAAUGCUUCAAAAUCUGAAACUUGUUGAAUACCCACAUGCCACUCAAAGGCAAUGCUUAUUACAAGUAUAAUGAAGCUAUUCCAAAAUUUAAAAAAAAUAAAAAUUCAAAACACUUCUGGUCCCAAGCAUUUCACAUAAGUGAUACUCAACCUGUAUGUAAUUACUUAAACCAUAUUAAACUGUAUUUACUAUAGUUUAAACAUUAAGUACAAGUUUGAUUUCACCAUAUAGGUAAUUUUCAGUAUAUAAAUAAAUUUUUGAAACUAAGAAAAGUAAGCUUGUCUCUUCAGUCUGUUGAGUCUUGCUUAAUACAUACCUCAGUUCUGAUCUCUCCUGUCCCAUCUGGGCAGGUUUAGUACUCUUAUACAGCACAUUAAUUUGCAGAUAUUUAUUGUUACUUUAUAUAAUAUAUUAAGAUUUUAAAAUAGAUAUAUAGAUAUAAAUACUGUAUGUGUAUCCAACUAUGUUGUCAUUCCUUUCAGAGUAGAUCUUACCUAUUUCUUUUUGAGGUAUUUUCUUAAUCUAUCUCUUAAUGUACAUUUUCUACUAUGUAGCCUAUUGUAUUUCACCUAAAAGGGCUUUAUGAAGGCUCUGUGUUUUAUGUGCUUUAUUUCAUUUUAAAGAUUUCCACUGAUUUCUGUCACCCCCUUCAGUCUCUCCUACUACCUGCUGGCUCAGCAUCCAGCAACAUCACGCUUUUGUUCUAGGGUUCCCAUAUAUUCUGUGAAUUUGCCCACUCUUUUUGUCCCCUCCCGAGCCCCCACUCAGUACUGUCUGUCCAAACCUCUCCCUGUCUAAUCCCUAAUCCCUCUCUCUGUCCCUUCCUUUUCUCUUGUAACUUAGAUUUUAGGAAAUCUUUGGAAAUCAGGGAACUGUAAACUCUGGUCUCCUGGUUCUGUUAAUAUACAGUGUAAAUAGUAAUACAUUUUACAAACUAUAAACACUGAAAUUGGUACUUCCUACACUUAGUCUGGUGCUUCCUCCAGAUUUUGAAACAAAAAAGUCAUGGACUCAGUUUGGGAUACUGAAGUUAUUCCCGUCAGAUACAUUCUGAAGCUGGAUGGACUCCUUCAAAGAGAGCAAGGGUGUUCUAUUUUGUUUCUGUUCUCAACUGACUGUGUUUCAUAUUGCACAAGUUUUCUAGGGUGCUCUAGCAAAAUGCCACAGACUGGGUGGUUGAGACAACAGAAAUGUAUUGUCUCACAGUGCUGGAGACUGGAAAUCUGAGAUAAAGGUGUCAGCGAGACUGGUCCCUUCUGGGGGCUGUGAGGGAGAAUCUGUGCCACGCCUCCCUCCUGGCUUCUGGUGGUUUGCUGGCCAUCUUCAGGGUUUCCUGGCUUGUAAGGGCAUCUUCUCCAUCUCUGCCGUCAUCCUCACAUGAUGUUCUCCCUGUGCCUGUGUCCAAAUUGCCCCUUUUUGUAAGGACACCAGUCCUGUUGGAUGAGGGGCCCAGCCUACUCCAGCAUGACCUCCUGUUAACUCAUUAACUCAGUCAAGACCCUAUUUCCAAAUGAAGAAUGCUACAGUAGAAUACAGUCUGAGCUAUUGGGGGUUGGGGCUUACCUGAAUGAAUUUUGGAAGACACAAUUCAACCCUUAACACAUACCAUUACAAUUAAUAAACAUUUUCUAGUCCACGUCUAAUCACUGAUUUUACAAUAAGCAGUGAUUUUGUAAAUCAGUGAUUUUGAUCUUGUGUUUGGACCAAAAUAUAGUACAAAUCAAACACAAUUGGCGUGAGUACAUUUAAUAAGUGAAGUCUUGACCGUUUUUGUAUUGCCAAGCUCCAAAAAGCAGUCUGAUUGUUUACGUGCUUGGAGGGUCCAUUUAUUUCUAAUCAUCCUGGCUUAACUUCAUUUAAAGAAUAAAUUGUUUUUAAACUUAUGCAAGCAGUUGUUAUUCCCUGAUGGCAGGUGAAAUCUCUAAACACUUUUUAAACCUUUUCAUCAAAUAGUAAUUUCAUUUUAACCCAAAAAUACCUUUUGAUUUUCUUUCUUAAAACAUGACCAUGAUGCAUAGUCAAUCAGAAUAAACCAAAGUAUUUAUUAAUUAGAGCUGUAUUGAUUUCUACUCUAGGUAAACUGACUUCCUCCAAAAUCUAGUAUGUUUCAUGUUUCAAGAAUUAAUUUAUUAAUUUAUAAACUCUGCUGCACCGUCAUUUAGUCAUAGUGGAUUGAAGUCACCAGCUGUUAAGACAGUCAUGAUUGUAAAUGGCAGAUGGCAUCCAGUGGCUCACUGUUGUUUGUGCCUCUUGGUACUCAUUUCCCUGAAGCUCCAAGUUUAGCCAUGAGGCAGUGAUAACUGUCAGUUGGAGUCUCAGAGCUUAUGCGUCAUUUAUUCCCAAGGCAAGGCACUAAAAAGCUAUAGCUUGGGCUGUAGCAUUUGCCAACUUGUAUCUCUGCCAUUUAAAACGUGCUCAGAGCCAGGCACAGUGGCUCACACCUGUAAUCCCAACACUUUGGGAGGCCACUCUGCUGGAUCACCUGAGGGCAGGAGUUCGAGACCAGUAUGGCCAACAUGGUGAAACCUCAUCUCUACUAAAAAUACAAAAAUUACCCGGAUGUGGUGGCACAUACCUAUAAUCCCAGCUUCUUGGGAGGCUGAGGCAGGAGAAUCGCUUGAACCUGAGAGGCAGAGCUUGCAGUGAGUAGAGAUCACACCAUUGCACCACAUUUAAAAUUUGAAAGGAAAAGAAAUCUUCAGUAUGAAUGCCCCUUUUUGUUAUUUUCCAAACCAUUGCAUCUUACUUUUCCUUUCAUUCAAUGCUAACUUAUUCACCAACACUUUUCAAGAAUGUGUUUACAUGAAAUCAGAGUGAGGAUGUUAAGUGACCCAAGACUGCAGAUAACUUUGGAACUGCUUCAGUGUAAAUCAGAGUGAGUCAUCCUGCCUCAGUUAUACAGAAUGAGCAGCUCUGAUGGACAGAACUUGGGAAAGGUAACACAGAGCAGCAAAGGGAUAUUCCCCAAACUUAAUUUCUGUUUGAGAACAAAAAUAUUGGGAAAUUAUCCAUCUUCAACUUACCAUGUUCUUAUUGUGUAAUUUGAUUUUAAUGCUGGAGGAUUUACCAUUGUUUAUACAGUGUGAUCUUCAAUGAAAUUUUACCCCUUAUGUCCAACUUUUGGUUCAGAUUAUAUCUAAAUUAAUAGAUUAAUAAUAAUAAUAAUGAGUGUUAUUAUUAUUAUUUUUGAGACAGAGUCUCACUCUGUCACCCAGACUGGGCUGCACCCAGUGCAGUGGCAUGAUCUUGGCUCACGGCAACUUCUGCCUUCCGGAUUCAAGUGAUUCUCCUGCCUCAGCCUUCUGGGCUGGGACUACAGGCCCGUACCACCAUGCCUGGCUAAUUUUUUGUAUUUUUUGUAGAGACGGGGUUUCACCAUGUUGGCCAGGAUGGUCUCGAUCUCCUGACCUCGUGAUCCACUUGCCUCGGCCUCCCAAAGUGCUAUUAAUAAUUAUUUUUAAAUGUAGUGAAGCAGCAUAGAUCAGUAUGAUUCCUGACUAUGGAAAAGAAUUUAUUUGGGCAAGAAUUACUGUUACAUCUAUUACUUGUGUAAAUGAAUUGAUUUCCACCUAUGCCAUAACAAUGUAUCUCACAGGCAGCAACUAAGCUGGAGUUGCAGGAGCUUUCUUGUCUGCCACCGCCCUCAGCCUCCGUUCCCCAUUGCUGGUGCCCCUGGUACAGUCUGUUCUUUUCACAGUUUGCAAUGGGAACUUCUCCAUGUCCCUUCUUGAGGGGCCUGCUCAUCUUCACCUCUAUACAGCCCACAAACUUCUCGCCUGUAUCUCUCCUGGUACAGUAGCCACAGUAGCCAUGCUAUAAACCAAGAUGGAUGCUGAUCAGUUACUCAGGCUAGAAGCUUCAAAACCUUGAAACAGGUUUGAGAAGAGAGCCACACAAUUAGAAUCAUACUUUAGAAGAGUCAGUCAGUCCUCAUCUUUACCUGAGCAGCGUUACAUAGUACAAUGCUUAUUAUAAAAAGGCCAGUUGAAUCAAACAGCUUUGCAAGGCAGAAAAAAACUUCUAUUUUGUUUAAAAUUAGCUAAACUUUGUAAGGGGCUACAGGAAGGUUUAUGCAUUUAGCUCAAUGAAUGCAAUAUAUCAAGAAAGGCGUGUAUUUCUAUAAGCAAAUAUUUGUGUCCCUUCUCAGACAUAUCAUUCAACCUUGAUAAUGAAUUACAAUCAUUUGUACUACUUUAACGCCUUCCAGGUGCUGUAAGAUAGGUACAAUAAUUAGUCCUAAUAGUUUUGCAUUUCCAGCAUAUCCUGUUUUCUAACCUGUCACUUCAUCCAGCAUACAUGAAUAUGAAUAAGGAUUCAAGUGAACUACAUGUCCCUUGGAAUCUAAUUUGGGAAACCACUUCUAGAAGGCCCCUUCUCAUCUGGCCUCCCACAACCCCACACUAUUCAUUUAAUGCCUUUUCUUGAAAUUCACAUAGUGCUGUCUGCUAAAUGUGACACCUUAUUUAUUACACUCUAAUGUAAUCAUCUGGGUGCCUUGCCCAGCUAGAACACAGCCCCAUAGUUGCUGGAACCCUCUUGUUCGUUCUUUCACUCACUUCUCAUCGCCUUGAGCAGGACUUACCUGUUAUGUAUGCUAUGGUGAAUAAAGACUAAGGAGAUAUGUUAACUCUUCAUCCAGCACCUUAUCUUUUGCUUCUCUGCAUACCCAUAUUUCAUGCUUUGAUUUUUUUCUGCAACUCUAGUCUUUAAAGAUUUACCUGUCAACGUAAGAAGCACAUUGAUUGGAUAGGAUAUUUCCUGGCAAUGUAAUGUGGAAUCAUGUGGUUGAAAGGGACGCUGUAGUUCCACCUGUUCUUCUCCAAGAAUUGCAGCAAAACAUUUACAACCUCAUCUGCAGCCAUUUUUAAGGAAAUUUAAUAAAGAGGUGUGAAGAGCACCUGAGAGCAGCCAAGAUCCCAAGACAAAGUAGAAACUUACCUACUGAAACUACAAAUAAAAAUGAAAUGUAAAUAUAUCUUUCUAUAUAUGGGCCAUUUUCUUGCUCAAUCUCUUUGUACCUGCGGGUGGAAGGAAAGGAGAAUGGGACUGGAUUGAAAGACAGCAAUUGUAGAUUUUUUCUGACAUAUGAAAUAAAUUGCAAAUGUUAAGUGUUGUAAUAACAUGCUUGCAGCCAUCUAUGUUAUUAAGACAGUACUUAAUGAGUUUUGAAACAAGUACUCCCCACAGUAUUACUACUAUUCUUUACUUAUAUGUGGUAGACAUUUUCAAAAAGUCAUCAUAUCUGAUUGCCUUUUAUGCUGCUGUUCUUUACACAUUUGAAAUCGUGCUUUUCUAGAUGAAUACAAUCAAUCAAAAUACAAUUACAUUGCUUGAGGUACUAUUUCAAGAAGUUUCUCUAAUGACAUGACUCAGUGAUUUCUUAAAGGUUAGAAAAACAUUUUGUUAAUGGAGAAAACUAGAAGUUCACCUUCUCUUGGAAAUAAAGGUUGAAUUUUAACUGAGUAACUUUGCACAGCCAUAUCAUAUUAUUGAAAUGUAUUAGGUGGUAGAUUUCUAUAGUUGCAGUUCUUUAAAAAAAAAAAAAAAAGAACUUUUUUCCAUUGCCUUAUUUUUUUACAAAAUGAGAGAUUCCUCAGAUGGAUAACCUUCAGCAGUGCAGCCUGAGGGCCAUACUUAGCAAGUGGAACUAGGUGCCUUGGGUCAGCAUUGUCCUGUGUUAAGGGGAAGUGGUAGUUUCUAAGACUUUUGUAGUUUUCCUAAAAUUGCUUUGGGCUCCAUGUUACCUAAGGUUGGAGAACAAGUUCUGAAGCUGGAUACAGGCAGGUUUCAUCACAGCUCUACCACUCAGUAUCAGGGUGAGCUCGGAACAAUUUAACUCCUGGAAACCUUAGUUUCUUCAGGAUUGUGUGGAUUAAAUGAGAAGAUAGAUGUAAAGCGCUUAGCAUAUUCUGAUGCUCUGUUGGCUCAAUUUUUAUUGCAUUCAAAAGGAUAGUUGAAGUCAGACACAGUGGCUUACACCUGUAAUCCCAGAUGGGGAACAUUGCUUGAGCCCAGAAGGUCAAGUCUGCGUUGAGCCAUGAUCACACCACUACACUCCAGCCUGGGCAACAGAGUGAAACCUUGUCUCAAAACGAAUGAAUGAAUGAAUGAAUGAAUGAAUGAAUUUUUUUUUAUUUUUAUUUUUAUUUUAUUUUUUUGAGACGGAGUUUCGCUCGUUACCCAGGCUGGAGUGCAAUGGCGCGAUCUCGGCUCACCGCAACCUCCGCCUCCUGGGUUCAGGCAAUUCUCCUGCCUCAGCCUCCUGAGUAGCUGGGAUUACAGGCACAUGCCACCAUGCCCAGCUAAUUUUUUGUAUUUUUAGUAGAGACGGGGUUUCACCAUGUUGACCAGGAUGGUCUCGAUCUCUUGACCUCAUGAUCCACCCAACUCGGCCUCCCAAAUUGCUGGGAUUACAGGUGUGAGCCACCGCGCCCAGCCAUGAAUGAAUUCUUUAAAAAGGAUAGUUGAUUUAUUUUUCAGAACUUUAUUUUUCCUAUAUACAGAUGCCUUUUUCAACUUUGAAUGUCUCUGCAAAGCUUGGGAAUUUGAUUGUUGCCCCAUUAUAAGUAAAUACACUGUUGUAGUCCAUUGAAUUAGAACAAAAGUGUCCACUGAAUUUGAAUUCCAUCCCAUCACUACUUUUCACUUUGCAGGCUUUCAAUCUGCAUUAAUUUCAGUUUCUUUAUUUUAGUUAAAUAAAACCAGUUCCCUAAUAUCACAGUUCAAAUCUUAGUUACCAUAGUAUAUUAACUAUAAUUAGAUAAAGUGCAAGCCUCAUAAUUAGGUCUUCAUUCCCCAAAACACUCUGUAAAUAGCAGGGGUUAUUUACAGAUAAUAACAUGAUCAAUGACCAAUCAUGCCCCUUCUUUCCCUGUCAGUGAUGGGUCUGUGCACAUUUGUUACUCAGUUUUCACACAGACAGGAAAGAUUGUCCUUGUGUUGCCUCCCCCCAAUGGUGAUAACUCACGUAGAAUUUUACAAAAAUAGCUUUAAAAGAUGGAAUUCAUCAACAAAGAUGGAAACACAGCAGGGCAAUGAAAAGUGAUAACAAAUGUAGUCAAAUUAGAAUCAAGCAUAUGUAAAAGAAAUAGCUGGCGGUGGGGAUGUUGACACUUCUGGCACUCUAGAUGAUGUUUCAGGAGACUCUAGAAACGCUGACAGGAACCCAGGAAAGGUGGACUCAACAUAAAUGAGGAAUGGGGUUUUGACAGAAAGGACAGUGAUGUCUUAGGGGACAUGAUGUCAUCAAAAAGCUUUCCAUUAAUGGAGUUCUCAGAAAGCACAAAGGAGAAAAUGUUAGAAGCUGACCUCAACUUAAGGGCAAUUGGCCAAGCAUGAAAAAGAUGCUCACAUCGUAUCGUAUACUAUGUGAUGGGAUGAAGAAGUCACACACCCAUUCGGAGUACUCUUGAUACAUUUUUAAAACUGGAAAACUGAAAGUCUAAAAGCUCAGUGUGUUUGUAUUGUAGAGUGUUUUCUAGCAUUCAUUUCCAUAUACAUUUAUAACUGAUGAUAAGAGAGUUUUAACACUUUCACAAAAAGUUUUAAAAGGUCACAGAAGAGCCAUACUUUUUGCCAUUGAUUAUUAAGUACUCAUUGCAUGGUUUUGGGUUAUAUAGUUAUUUGUACAGUCAUAACCUCAGAAAGCAGGGACUGGCGUAGUAAAAAAAAGAAAAAGUCAAACCAAUACUGUUGCCAUCUGGAUUUUAUAUUACCGAAAAAUUAGUUAACACAAUCUCCUUAAUGUUAUCAACAGUUUCAAGUACUUUCCCAGCCUGUUAAAGGCAAUUUAGUAAUAGAUAUCUUACUGAUUAUAGAACUUGACUUUCUAAUAUUUGCUAUUUUUAAUUUUCAAAAAGUCCUGAAAUUAAAUAUUCAAACUCAUAUAUUUAUGGUACUUUUAGUGGAAUGUUUUUGCAAUGUAAAAGUUUUUUGUUGUUGUUCUUUUCAUUUUAAAAGAAGGCCCUCCAGGAUUCUCCAUCAGCAAACAGCCAAGCCACCGCAUUAUACAUAACAAAUUUUAGUGACAGUUCUAGUCCCUUGGGGGUGAGAAAUAAAGUCUCGUUUGCUCAUUUAAGUCAACAAGCUGUGGGAUUUAUUGUGUAUUUCAUAGUAAACACACAGAAUGUUUUGAUUUUUAAAAGUCUAAAAUAAUUGAAACUGUCUUGUGUCAUUGAACCCUAUAAUAAAUACCUAUAAUUGAAAACCUCAAAAUUGGUUGGUUUUGAAAGAUGUUAGUAUAAUGCAUAAUAAUAAGCGCCUCUGGAUUAUUUUUAAUGCAUCAGAUCCUGUGCUAUGAUCUGUGUAAGAGAAAGGAGCCCUGAUUACAGUUUUGGAGAAUGUUCCCAGUGCCCCCAGCAUGCCCACGGUGGAUACCACAUCAUUAUGCUGUGCUCUGAGGGACCUCAUUCUGACAACAUGCUUGGUUACAUACAGUAAUGAAAAGCCUUGUUUGGGAAACAUUUGUGCUUUUAAAUAUUGGUUUCAUCAUGUCCAGGGAAUGAAGCUGAUUUAAACAUAGCUCACAGUAAAUCUGAGAGUGGAAAGUUUGAUUUUACCCAUUACUCCUUCUAAAUUUUUAUUAAUGUAACUUCCCAAACUAUUGUGUAGCAGAGAAACUGGUUGAAUUUGUUCUUCCAGGGAAAAAGGGUCCUCUUUAUAGCAUGAAUUUCUAUGAAGUUUUUCAUGUAAUAUAUUUUGUCCUUUGUAUUCAUCACCUUUACAACGAAAAACUUAUAAAGUUCUUACUCUAAAACAUUUUGUCUGAGCCCGGGGUGAAGAUUACUAUAAGGAAUGAUUGAGCAACAAGAUGCCUGUGAUAGUCAAGGAAAAAGUCAAAAUGUUGAUUCUGAAGACCCUUUGCUAAUUCUCAAAUUCUGGUUGUUUUUAUUUUCAUCCAUAAACAAGGGCAAUUUCAGGAAUAGGAAGAAGGAGGAACACGGAGCCUCAGCCAGCAUUGACAUGGGUGAUACCUUCAGAAUGUUUAUAGGAGCACAAAAAGCCUGGUGUCACUUGCUGGCAGGCCUUAACUUCAGAUUUGACCUUAAACAACACAUAGAACCUCUCCUUUGGCUCGAAUCCCAUGUGAGGCUUCCCGCCAUAUUCAGGUAAAUGGAUGGCUUGGAUCGAGGCUGCUCCUGACCUCAAAUAGUAGACCAGCCCCCAUGGCUUUCCUGGCCUGGUCUCCUCAGCUCUGGAGGGUGGCCUGAAAGCUCCAGAUGAUUCCAGGAGUACAGCCUGCUCCAUGACAGGCCUCAGGUAACGGCUCCUACUCCUCCUGUCUCACCUGGUGGUGGUGAAUUCCCCACACUUAAUGGGUCAUGACUGGGCUCAGACUGUCCUUUUGCUCAGAGGGCUUGUCCCUUCUCUCACUUUUCCAUUUUGUGAACCACAGUGAAAAUGUUGAGAAUUCAUUCCCGUACUUCCCAGGAGCUGCAUUCCUACUUCACCGGGGUUCUGGAAAUAAUUUAUUUUCAACUGUGGUUCCUCCUGUUUGUUGGGUGCCCUUUAUGUGCAAGGCACUAUCUCAACCCACCCAACAACCCUAUUCAACCCUAUUUAGUACAGAUUCUAAUUGGUGAAGAAAUUCAACUUAGUAAACAGAGGAAUUUGGAUUGAAACGCCUUUCCUUUUUUACCUCUUACAGCACAUCACGCGUUGUGUCAUUGUUUGCCUGCUUCGUUUCUGUCUUCCGUACUAGACUAGGAACUCUUCUGUGUCUUAUCUGUUAAUGACUUCCACUCCCAUCCCAAGCAUCCCCAUGCUUGGCCCACAGCCCUUGUUACAUAAAUGUUUAUCUUGCAGGACCAAUGAGUGAAUGAAUGGAAGUUUAAGUCAAUUACCAACCGGUUACAGAGUAAGAACAGAGGCCGCAAGAAAGAUGAAAAUCCAAUUUUACGAAUUUAACAUAAUAUUUACAAGAAUAAUUUUUUGCUGUACAAAUUUGGCCAUGGUGAGAAUCUAUGUAAAUAUAACUCGUAAAGACUCCAGGACUUAAUUUACUUUUUAGUCUUAAAGGAAAGGCACAGUAGCUGUUUUUGUGAGUGGCACAGAAAAGUGUUUCUGUUUCCUAUGAUACUAAUCCUGCACAAGUUUUUUCUUUUGGUUACUGUCUAGGGGUAUAUGAGGGAAGUGUGGGGAGGAAGGUUUGUUGGUGUUCCCUUGGCUUAUACUCCUCCCCAAAGCUGUGCUCCACUGGCACAGCCGAAGAGGGACAGACAGGAAAACGAGGUCAGGAAUCCUGGACAGCAGAAAGGUGCCUGGGAUACCCAUGGGGGAUCCAAAGGGCCAGCAGGCAUUCCCAGCGACAUCAGAAACAUGAAAGGUUGUAGGGUGGCCAGAGCCAUCAGCCUGCCAAAAUCGUGGACUCAGACUAAAUAGCAUCCUGCUGCCUUCCCAUCAUUAACCUGCCCUUUUAUGCAAUUGAUUUAUUGUGGGAGAAAACAGUUCACUGUGAGUUAUUCAGUGAUUACUUACUCAGAAGCUGUAGAGUGGCUCAGCGACAGGGACAAAUGAAAAUCCAGAACAUCAUGUUCUUUAAGUUUACUACGAUGAUUCUUCUCUUCCAUCACUUUCUAUAAGCAACACAAUGGGGACAGAAUUCCCUGAAAAACUAAGAUACAGGACACCACAAAGGCCUGAAGCUUCCGUCCAAAAGAAGUAAUCUGGGUUGGAGCUAGUGGGGAUUAAGCCUGCUCUUGAUUUCGGACUCAUUUUUUAUAUUUGGACUGUUUAAAAUUACUUAUCCAAGAUCCUCCAAGGCAGAUGAUUAUAUUAUCAUACUCAUUUGUUGGGGAGAGUAGGGAGUUGUAAUUAUUAGUCUAAUUUGCCCCAAACCAGAAAGUACUACUAAAUUCUAUGAUUAGAAAAAGGAGAAGGAAAUCUGAGUUUAUAUGGAAAAGUAUUUACUUAUGAUAUUAUUCUGCAUUUUAAAUAGUACAGAAGAAAAAGGAAAGAAUCUAGUUAAGAUGCUUAAAAUUUGAAUUUCUUCUUUGGAGAAUCUAUGACUAAAAUGCCUCAGAAUGUGUUAUGAUCAUAUUUGAAAAAGUAAAAUAUUAUACUGAUUUAUGUAUAGUGAAAUCUAGUUGAGCUUUAAGUAAAAGUGAUAGUAUUUCAAAGAUACUUUACCCGGUAGCAUUCUUUUUUUUUUGAGUUGUACUCUCACUCUGUUGCCCGGGCUGGAGUGCAGUGGCGUGAUCUCAGCUCACUGCAACCUCCACCUCCCAAAAAGUUUAAAGUUUAAAAUUAGUAUCUUCAGCUGGGCACUGUGGCUCAUUCCUGGGGUUCCGGCACCUUGGGAGGCCAAGGCGGAUAGAUCACCUGAGGACAGGAUUUGAGACAAGCCUGGCCAAUGUAUAGUGAAACCCCAUCUGUACUAAAAAAAAAAAAAUAGAAAAAUUCACUGGGUGUGGUGGAGCAUGCCUAUAGUCCCAGCUACUUGGGAAGCUGAGGCAGGAGAAUUGCUUGAACGUGGGAGGCAGAGGUUGCAGUGAGCCAAGAUUGUGCCACUGCACUCCAGCAUGGGUGACUGAGCAAGACUCCAUAUCUCAAAAAAUAAAAUAAAUAAAAAUAAAACAUAAAUUAGUAUCUUCACAUCAACAGCUUACCUAAUAAUUUUUACAAACAUGCUCCACCUUAUAUUUGUUUGGAAAAUCAAGACUUCUGAAGUCUGGACCAUCACAGGCUUUACCUUGAGCAUUCGUCUGUAGCAUUAGUAACAGCCCCAGCUCGUCCUGCAGCUGAACUUCACCUGUGUGGUGAUUUGACUUUUGCACAGUGCAAGGUGAUGGUCAGGGUCCCCUGGACCACACCCCUGGGCUCUCCUGGGGUUUGUCACCCACUUUGCUGGAGUACAGCUUGGCCCCAUCUGAUCCUGUUCCAUAUGAGUGCUGGUUCUCAUCAAUAGCCUCUAGGAGUACUUUUUUUAACAAUAUAUUCUUAAGAUUCCUAAAGGAAAUAUAUCUGGGUUUAUUAUUUUAAGGUAUCUUCUAAAGUUUUCUGCAUAAGUGUCUUAGUCCACUUGGGCUGCUGUAAUAAAAUACCAUACCCUUGAGUAGCUUAAAUUAUGGACAUUUGUUUGCCGUAGUGCUGAGGCUGAAAAGUCCAAGACCAAGAUGCCAACAGAUUUGGUGUCUACUGAAGCCCCACUUCUGGGCGCACAGAUGGACAUCUUUUCACUGUGUCCUGAAGUGGUGGAAGGAAAGAACUCUUUUCUCUUCAGCCUUACAAGGACACCAUUCCCAUUCAUGGGGGUGGGGCUCUGCCCUCAUGAUUUAAUCACUUCCCAAAGAUCUUGCCCUUUAUUUAAAUUUUAUCAGUUUAUAAUGAAAAUUCUACAUAUGAUUACCUUAUUCCUGCAUGUUUUCAGUUGUUUCUUCCUUGUGUUUGCCCUUUCUCGUGCCUGCUUGGUGAGAAUUGGCUUUCUGUCCAAGCAUCUUUUUUCAGUCUCUGUUCAGUUCUAGCCUAGAAGUAGCACCUUGCUGGAGUGAAUGCCCAUGUGGACAGUUGUGCCAUUAUCCUUUUCCCACUGCACCUGCUCAGCGUAGAUGACAUAUUUCUUCCUGUAAACCUGGACUGCCUUGCCAGUUUGCUGACAUUUAUAGUGUCCUCACACAGCCUGAACUUCAUCAUCCUUUCAGAUGAGCAUGGAUCGAACAUUGGACUUCUGUGUCAGCUCUUUGGAAACAGGGGAAGACAUAUCUUCCUGUGAAUGUGGAAAGGUGCCUUGAAAUGCCUUUUUGUGGUUCUUGCUUCCAUCAAAAGUCACAAAGGGAUUAAACUUCAUUUUUGCCGCUACCACUUCAGCAAUAGCCACAAAAGGGAAGACCUUCUUUCUCUUAAUACUCUCACAUUGAGGAUUAGGUUUCAACAUAUGAAUUUGGGGGACACACAUUCAGACCACAGUGGUAAAGAAAUAAAUCUCUGACUGGGAGUGAUUCAUUAAUAAAGAAGUGUCUGCUGGGCCCAGAUUUUUAAUGGCACUUCAUAGGUUUUCAUUUCUCUAGUUGCUUUAGAUUCAUGUCUUAGCUAAAACUUCAUAAAGCAAGGAAAGAAGAUAAAUGGCAGAGGAGAGCAUAAGUGACUUCUUGGUAUUACAUCAUGCCUUAAAAGUCUAUGCUCACUUACAGUUCUUUGUCUCUUUAUUUUGGUAAUCUGUGUUUUAAAGUAACUCACUGCCCUGCCAUUGUCAUCUGCACAUUUGAUAGGUCUGCUCUAGCUUAACCUCUGGGUCUUUAAUGAGUAUGCCCUGUCUCUUAAAAGAAAGAAAAAUCAUUCAAUGGCUAAUAUUUGUACAGGGAGAUACUAUUUUCCCAGACAUUUAUAUGAUGUGAAACAGAAUCAGAAGUCUUGAUAGAUCUGUCCAUGACUUGCCCCCUGUCUAUGGGAAGGGCUUUUAUUGGUCUGAGAGGGUUACUAUGAGAAGCCACAGUUGCUAUUCCUCAAUAAUAAAAUAGAUUGAUAUUAAAUAAUUAUUUAUUCUGGUAAUGAUAUAAGAACAAAUAAUGUAUUUCCGUGAAUUCUCAGAAUUUUUUUUUUAAAAGCUGUAGUUAUAUAACACUCAGAAAUCUAUGCUGGCUUUCCCAAGUAUAUUCACCCUACCCUGGGUGUCAUCGUCUCAGCCAGCCUCAUGCUGACCUCAGUAGCUAUGUGAUCUUGAAAUUGCUGCUCCAGGUUCACCUCUCUUGAAUCCCAGGCAUUCUAUGUAAGGCUUAUUUUUCUGGACUCAAACAGCAAAGGGGAGUUCCCUUCUCAAUUACCUGAACACGUUGGGGAGGAUUUAGACAUCUCUGCUGGCAACAAGGUGAGAGACCAAACUACUAGGUGAAGGGACAAGGGUUGAAUAUCAAUGUGAGCACUAGACCCUGUUCUAAAUGUGUCCCAUGUGGAAAUUCAUUUAAUUCUGACAAUAAUCCUAGGAGGCUAGCAAUAUGUUAUCUCUUUUUGAAGAUGAGGAAACUGAGACCCAGAGAAUUUGAGUAGCUGCUGAAGGACAUUCAGCUAGUCAUACAGAGCAUUUAAACCCAGCAGGUUGUCUCAGCUCCGUGUUGUAUUGCCCUCUGAUGAAAGGCAGCAAGGGAGAUGGUCUUCACUGGAAUCAGACCUCUAGAAUUCCUGAGUGCUUUGGGGUCACCAGUCCUCUCUAUUGGAAAGUUGUGGGUUUUUUUUUUUAAUUCAUAACUGGAUCACUGUAAAUUAUAGGCAAAUCCACUUUCUGCAGAAUAUGUGACUCAUCUUGACUAACACUAUUUUCCAAAAUAUCUCAUUGCUCAUCAGCUUGUGCCCACCCAAUGCCCCACCCUGGCCAAUAUCUUAAAGACUACUUUCCUGGCUCAAUUUUCAUUUUCUUUAGAAUGACAAAAAGUAAUUCCUUUUGAAUAUACUUUGUGCAACUAAAAAAUGCUAUUAAUACACUGUCUUCCCCAGACAAUGAAUUCUAUACACAGCACCGGUGGACGUGAGCAUAUACACACAUACGCAUGCACACACGCAUGCACGCAUGCACGCACACACGCGCACACACACACAGACAUACACUAGCCAAAAGCAGAGCUUGAGUGUUUUUUUAUUAUUUAUUUAUUCAUUUAUUUUGAGACAUUUUCUCUCUUUGUCACCCAGACUGGAGUACAGUGGCAUGAUCUCCGCUCACUGCAACCUCCGCCUCCCAGGUUCAAUCAAUUCUUGUGCCUCAGCCUCCCAAGUAGCUGAGACUAUAGGCCUGUGCCACCAUGUCUAGCUAAUUUUUGUAUUUUUAGUAGAGACAGGGUUUCACCAUGUUGGCCAAGCUGGUCUUGAACUCCUGGUGUCAAGUGAUCCACUGGCCUUUGCUUCCCAAAGUUCUGGGAUUACAGCUGAGUCUUGAAGUAUAUACGAGCAUCCUGGGACUUUUGCUCAUCCUCGGCCUUUAUCUUCCAGACUUCAGUGCUGUACAGCAGAUGGCUACUGAUCCAGUGUACCUUAUUCAGGUGUUGAGAAAUGUAUUAUGCUGAGCAUAACUUAGGCUAGGAAGAAACUUUUUAUUCCAGAUAAAAAGUAGUAUUAGCAGAGGUAGAAUAGCGUAGUGAUGAUAACCUGGGAUUUAGAAGGCAGAGGAAAGCCUGGAUCGGAGUCCUAGCUCAGCCACUUGGAAGCAUUUUGAACUCUGGCCGAUUUGUUGGCUUGUUUAACGGGAUAUUUGUAAACACUGUGUACCAGGUCCGGUUCUAGGCUCUGGGAAGGCAGAACACAAAACAGAUCAAGGCUACUUAAAUACCAGUAUGGAAGACAUAAAUAAAUAAAUGCCUGGUAACCAACUGGCUGCACUUUUAAAAUAUAUUCAGAAAACAACCAGAUUUCUCCACUGCCAUCACAGUUUAAACCCCUCAUCGCAGUAGCCUGUUAACUGGUUCCUGCUUCUGUUCUGCCGUUCUGCAAUCCGUUUCCAACAGAGCAUUCAGAAAGCUCCUUCUAACCCAUGAGUCUGAGCCCUCUCUCCUGGGCACAAAACCUCACAGUAGAGUCCCAUUCUCCUUGAAGACAGCCGUGGUCCUUGACACGUUGUGUCCAUUAGCUCCACCUCCUUCCUCCCAUGCCAGCAUACCUGUGUCUCCAGGCCUCUGCACUGGUCUUUCCCCCUCAUCGCUGUUGUUACUCCUUUAUCUCCUUCAUGACUCGGUAUCCCCUUCUCAAUGAAACUUUUCUUGUUUGGCAGACAGAAUAAUGCCUGAAUAAGGAAGGACCUAACCCACCUGUUUCAUCUACAAAUAUGCCAACCCUAAUAUUCAGACCAGAUAUAUUUCUUAAUACUUUUAAGUCUUCUGUAACUCAUCAGUGGAAUAAGCUUAUUUUGAAGUGUUUGGGAGUCCUAUUCCUUCCAGACACUGAAACUUGAAUGUGUCAUGAUAGUAAACCAAGAGAUGGUAAAUGAAUGAACAUUUAGUCUUCAGGAAGAGAUAAGAAAAGACAAGUAAAUUACCUUAUUUGUUUUUGUCCAAAAUAUAUUUCAUUUAAGGCUUAUAAUUCUCAAUUCUCGAGGCUGGAGAACAGAUUGUAGAGCUUCAGGAAUGGUUUAACUCAAAACCAUUUCAAGCUUCUUAAUGUGAUGCAUACAGCAUUUGGGGACUGCCUCCAGGAGCAUAAGCCUAGCUGGUCCCUCAAGACCUAAAGAAAAGCAAGUGAGAAGGUGAAUGCAAUUCUCAGGAUCUGAUGGGAUGGCUGAAAGCAAAGAGCCUCUAUUGUGGCAGGUUUAUUUUACAGCAUUUUUGUGCUGCUCUGUCCAGAAUCCCUUAACCAAUGUGAGGGAAAAGUCAAUGUUAGGUAAACCAAUUAGGGAAUCUCAGUGAGGUAUUUUCUCAGAGACCAAUAAAGCAGAAGCUAGCAGAGCUACCUGAGAAGGGCUGAUGUGAUUCAAUGUGGCACUUUCUUGGUGGCAGCUGGACACAGAUAUGAAAACAAAGAGUACUUUGUUCGAGUUUACGCCCCAGUGGGAUGAUCCAUGAACCAGUAUUUGAGAAAAGAGUCAGAAGAAAAUUCUGCAGAAAAGGCUGCAGAAUCCUCAGCUUUGCCAAAUAAACACAGAGCGACAGAACUACUGCCAAAAGCAGGGGUGGCAAAUUUGGGGGAGGCCUUAACCUCUCAGCACCUCGAUUUCUUCCUUGGCUGCAUGGUAUUCAUGAGAAGCAUCUAUAGUGAAGCCAGCCUGCGUUGUUCAAAUUCCAGCUCCAUCUCUCUCUAGCUAAGGUAGAGCAAGUGAUUUCUUGGGUAAAGUACUGAACGUCUUGGCAUCCUGGGGCCUCAUUUACUUCAUUUGUAAAAUAAAGGGUAGUGAUAGCCCCUGUCUCAUAGAGUUAGUAUGUUCAUAUUUGCAAAACUCCUUAGAGCAGUUCUGGCACAUAGUAAGCACGAUCUGAAUGCUAUUUCUAUAAUUAUUAUUAGUAUGUAGUAUGUGCCUAAUGACUAUGUAUAUUAAUAAACAGUCUAUAAGCAGAAGGUAUUUUUGCAAUUUAUUUAAUUUGCAUUAAACUUCAUAGAGAGUUCUCUGUUAAACUCUUUCAGAAAACUAAAGGACAUUACAUACAGGACAGCAUGUGUAAAAUUUAAAUUUAAAAGUAUCUAUCUAUCUAGAUAAUUAUGCAAUAGUGUCAAAUCUCAGUUUCCAGAAAGUAUCAGAGAGAUUCUAGAGUAAGAUCUUUGGAUGCAAAAAAGAUAAAUCCUGUGUUCACAAAUGUCAUUAGCUUUAAGUUUAGCCUUAAGUUUUAAAAAUGUUUACCCCGUUGUCAUUAAUCUCUUCAUUGAUAAUAAUGCUAUUUCCAAGGGACCUAAUUCAAAAUGUUUCUUCUCUCUUUUCUCCUCUCUCCACUGACCUUGUUCGGUGACAUUACUUUUCAGACAUUUGAUGAAUGAGCAUGUUCUGUCCUGGAAAUGCCAACGCAGAUUGAUAACGCCAGGGAGCAAGCCUCAGUCAGAUCUUAAGAGCCAGAAAGCUCUGCAGAUUUACUAACCAUGAGAAUGGAAACUAGCCACAUUCCAGGACAUUCAGAUUUCACUCUUCCCAUCCCAAAAUGGGUGAUAUUUCUUGAAGCAGGUGGGGGAAACCAAAUUUCAGAUCAGAUCUGGGUGCUUACCGGAAGAUUAGCAGUGGGAAGUUUCUUCAGACUAGCUUAAGUAGAAAGCCUCAUUGCAGAUGCUUGCUUCUGGGGUGGGGGGGCAUGCUAUCUGGGGCCGAACGGCUUCCAAAGUGGCUGCACUAAGGAGACUGUUUAGCCUCAACACAUUCACGUUUUUAGUUACAAAGAAGCAGCACACCUUGUAAGCAGCAUCAGUUGUGAGCAUCUUCCAGGCCACUUAUGGGUUAAAAAACUCCAAAAAUCCCCCUUUGAAACUGUAAAAGUUUGAAAAGUGCCUCCAGCACUGUAAUGGGAUGAGGCAGGAUGAGCCUCCUCCUUCUUAGAGACACAACUUCAGAUGUUAUUUUGCAGCAGCUUGGGGAACACUAUUUCUCUUCACUACCCUGAAACAGAUAGUGCAGUCCUCAUAAGUUGAAAAGCUACUCAACCGCAUUCGUGCUGCUGGCCUUGCAAUCUCAUUUUUAGAUUCUUGUUUUAACGUUACCUACAGACAUUAUUCUUACAUGUUACUUUGAGCAUUCAGAAUUAAAAUUAUUCAUGAUUUUCUGAAGAAAUGAGAUAAUGGCAUCCUUUAGAAACCAAAAAACAAACACUCUGAAAUGUGCCUGUUCACUUGCCCCUUACUUGGGGUGGCUCGCCUGAAAUCCAGAACGGAGCCAACCAAAGCAGGCAGCGUUCCUGAAGAAAGUUCGUGCGCAUGCCCUCCCUUUUCUGCUCUCUUAACUUAUUUUCUCUUAAUUUGAGUUUACAGGGUGGCUUAGUUCGAGCUGCUGUAACAAAAUACUUCGGACUGGGUGAUUUAUAAACAACAGAAGUUUAUUGCUCAGUUCUGGAGGCGGGAAAGUCCAAGUUCAAGGCGUCAGCAGAUUUAGUGUCUGGUGAGGGCUCAUUCCUCAUAGAUGGUGACUUCUUGCUGUGUCCUUGAGGGGAAGGGACAAGCACAUCCUCUCAAGCCUCUUUUAUAAAAGGAUACUAAUCCCAUUCAUGAGACUGAUGCCCUCAUGAUCUAAUCACCACCUAAAGGCUACACUUUUUAAAACUAUUGCACUGGAGGUUAGGUUUCAACAUAUGAAUUUUGUGGGGGACACAUCUAGACGAUACUGGGGGAAAUAGUGGUAUGUAAAUUUCUCACUGACUGAAGAUCUAACAUUCCAAUAACUUGGUUCUACUUGCAAGGGUACUUAUAGUCUUGUUGCAGUCACUAUAGGGUAUAUCCAGACCCCUCUGAUAGCUUUGAUUCUUCGCACUGACCUGUCUGCAGAGAUUCCUCAGGGGUGUACUGCUUCCCAGGCUGGCCUGUGAAAGACAGUAGGUGACCACUCUGGUUGCUGCAGCCCUUUGGUAGUUACUGCACCCGGCAUCCUGCUAAGCACUCUGUGUGGGUUAUCUCCUACAUUCUCAGUGACCUGGUAAGGCUGGUUAUGAUCAUCCCUCCUUUACUAUGGAGAAAACCAAGACUCAGAUUUGGAUAAAUAACCUGCUUCUGAGAAAUGUAGCCAGUAAGCCACAGAGCCCAGGGCCAAGCCAAGGUCCUUCCGACUUCCAAAUUCAUACUUUAAGUCAACAUUUGUACAUCUCAGAAUUGUGUCCUAGACUCAGUGACUCUGAGGGCACCUUCCCCAAGGGCACAUGGUUUCUAACUAGAGUGAGGAAAUAUGAACCACAUGACUGGAGCAUAUUUACAGAAGAUAGGCAAACUAUGUUUGCACAUAAAUAUUUUAUCAUUAUUUCAAAUACCUGAUCCAUAGCCUACAGCUUUCUUAAUGAGAUUGCUUUAGGAAACCUUCUUUAUGUGGAAAGAGGGUUUUUCAUCUUCCUGAUCUAGCCCCUCUCAUCUGAAUUAUCCACUUUUUCAUCUCCCCGGUCUAGCCCCUCUCAUCUGAAUUAUCUACUUUUUCAUCUCCCUG